UUAUUAUUUAUAAUUAAAUUAAUUUAAUUUAAUUAAUUUACUUUUAAAUUUUAUUAAUAUAUAAAUUUAAUUACAUUAAUAUUUUAUUAAAAAAAAUUAUAAUUCAUUAUUAUUAAAAUUAAAUUUAAAUAUUAAUCUAUUAUUUUUAAUAUAAUUUUAAUUUAAAUAAAUUUCAAAAAAAAUAAAUUUACUUAUAACAACUAUAUAUAAAAUAUAUUUUAAUUUAUAAUAUUGUGUAAUAUCUAUUAUAUAACAAAUUCCUCUAAAAUAAAAAUACUGCCAAUUUAAUAAAUUUAAAAUUUAUUAUAAUUAUUAUUAAUAAUUUAUUUUAUAUAUAAUUAUCUAGAGUAUCUAAUUCUAUUAAUUUAAUUAUAUUAAUAUUUAUAUUUAUAUAAAUAUAAUUUAAAUUAAUAUCACUUAAAUUUAUUUAUAAAUAAAACUUUUAAUAAAUAUUUUAAUCUAUAAAAAAAGU
rnacentral:rRNA from 1 species